AGUGAACGCUGGCGGUAGGCCUAACACAUGCAAGUCGAACGGCAGCACAGUAAGAGCUUGCUCUUACGGGUGGCGAGUGGCGGACGGGUGAGGAAUACAUCGGAAUCUACUUUUUCGUGGGGGAUAACGUAGGGAAACUUACGCUAAUACCGCAUACGACCUACGGGUGAAAGCAGGGGAUCUUCGGACCUUUCGCGAUUGAAUGAGCCGAUGUCGGAUUAGCUAGUUGGCGGGGUAAAGGCCCACCAAGGCGACGAUCCGUAGCUGGUCUGAGAGGAUGAUAAGCCACACUGGAACUGAGAAACGGUCCAGACACCUACGGGAGGCAGCAGUGGGGAAUAUUGGACAAUGGGCGCAAGCAUGAUACAGCCAUACCGCGUGGGUGAAGAAGGACUUCGGGUUGUAAAGCCCUUUUGUUGGGAAAGAAAAGCAGCAGGUUAAUACCCCGCUGUUCUGACGGUACCCAAAGAAUAAGCACCGGCUAACUUCGUG
rnacentral:rRNA from 1 species